rnacentral:rRNA from 1 species
AUUGAACGCUGGCGGCAGGCCUAACACAUGCAAGUCGAGCGAGCGGAGGACGGGUGAGUAAUGUAUGGGGACUGCCCGAUAGAGGGGGAUCACUACUGGAAACGGUAGCUAAUCCAGCAUACUAUCGGAUAACCCAUAUGGGAUUAGCUAGUAGGUGAGGUAAUGGCGAAACUGGGCGACGAUCCCUAGCUGGUCUGAGAGGGUGAUCAGCAAAACGGGGAGUGAGAGAUGGCCCAGACUCCUACGGAGGAGUCAGAGGGGAAUAUUGCACAAUGGGCGCAAGCCUGAUGCAGCCAUGCCGCGUGGAGGAAGAAGGACCGAGGGUUGUAAAGUACGUUCAGUCGGGAGGCGUUACCGACAGAAGAAGCACCGGCUAACUCCGUGCCAGCAGCCGCGGUAAUAC